AAUUGGCAGAUAUGAUUGACAAAAACUGGAACUUUGGCAGGGAAGACGAAUACAAAGAGCGAGAAGAAAAGAAGAUAUUGAUUUGGGAAAAUUUGGAUAGUGAUUUCCAGGAGAAAUCACAAUGAACAUGGUAUGAUUGUAAAAAAGAGGGUAGAAUAGGAGCAGAAAUCUGUAAUUUGUUGAUUCUGAUAGGGAGAAUUUUAGAAAACCCUAACCCAUAGGUUUUGUGGUUUGGGAUUGCCUGGGUUCUACACUUUAAGCUUUUGAAAGGGGAGAGAAAGAAAGGAAAAUUGAAAGAUUGGAGAUGGGAAGGCCGGAGGAUCGAGAGAGACAGAUCGAGACAGGGAGAGAGAGGAGAUG
rnacentral:misc_RNA from 1 species